rnacentral:lncRNA from 1 species
UAGGAAGCUCGUAUACUCUAUCAGAAGUGUUACGUUGCAUCCAUGUUAGUCUUUUAUGCGUGCAACAUCAUCCUGAGGAUAGACCAACCAUGGCAUCUGUGCUUAUAAUGUUGGGAAGUGAGAUUCCCUUGGCUCAGCCCAAGCAACCUGGUUUCUUUAUAGAAACGGAAUCACUUGAAGCAGGCGUUUCUCCAGGUAAUCAAUCGUCAACAAACAAAAUAUCGAUUACACUUAUGGAGGCUCGUUAAGGGUCGAUUAAUUCUUGGUAUAUAGGUUCAUGCUGCUUGGCUCAAUUGUUGUGCAUACUUCCAAAACAAGUCACUUUGUUCAUAGAUCGGUGUCAGUUUUUGAACACUUAAAUUAAAGCAUGAAUAUGUGAAUUCUUUGUUUUAUGGAUUAGGGGUUAACAUCCACAAAUCUCAUAAACAGGCUUGGGUUAUUCCGUACUGUUAUUCUUUCGUACAGGGCCAAUAAAAAGGCUUUAGGCAUCCAAUUUUGUAGGUUCAGGCUUUACCAACGUGAAGCAUUUAUUUAUUGAUGUUUUAUGGAGCUUAGACAAUGUUUUUUCCUUUUAUUAUUCGCAUUGAUUGGGAUCUCUUAAUAGUCUUUUUUGAAGCAGAGUUUAUUUCAUUUUGCGCAAAACUCAUGAAAUAAAAUAACACGUGGGUAAACUAUAUUUUACUUUAAUCUAAUUUAAAGAUACCAACUUCAGAAGAACCAAAGUCUAAAGUCAAUGUGAUAAUAAUAAGGCAGAAAAAAGAAAUGAAUUGCGGACCUGCUUUAUCAGCCAUGACGUACAUUUACGACUUUGAGUUUGAGGUUAGAUAUCAAUUUAUAAAAUAUUUUGUUAAAAUAUUGACAUUAACUGCAUUCUCUCAAUCACUGUUUUUUAAAAUUUAAAAAAAAAAAAAAAAAACCUACAUGCAACGCUAUUUCCAAUCAAUAAUACAAUGACACGUGGAAAAAUUGAAGAAACUGGCUCCAAUUAAAAUUGUCAAUUAAUUAGGUGGAUUAUAAUUGCAUAGCCCUUAAGGGAGUGCAUUUUCCAGAAGCUUGUUGGCUUGUAAAGACAACCAAAAAAACAAAAAAACAAAAAAAAAAACCCAUCGCGAUCCACAAAUGAACAAAAUCCAUUGUCCAUUUGAUUUAAAGAAAUUUUUAAAAUUCAUUCUUGUCAUGGUUUUAAUAUGCUUUUGUACAAUAUUUCAAUGAAAAGACAAAAUAGUACAAAUAAAGAUAAUAAUAGAAGUCCUACUCUCUUUUGAAAAUAUACCUUUGACCUUGGUGCAUUACUGCCAUGAUAAAUAGGUGGAGACUUGAAUUUCCUUGUUGCAUCCUGCAACACUCUUUCCCAACAAAAAGCUCUCCACAUACCCCUGCAACACUCUUUUAAUUCUCUUUUCAAAUUUGACAGUGAAAUUUGCUCAAAAUCUGGAAGAAAGAAAAAGGAAAAUUUGAGCGAAAAACUCAAAUUUCUUUCUCAAGCUUUUUAUUUCCCGAGACACUCCUCUGUUGAUUGUGACCUUAAUUACCAGAACUGUUAGCUGGAGAAUGAACCGCAAGACGCAACCUGUGAAUGUGAAAGGAGGGAAAUUCUUUCUUCACUAAAACAAGUUUUUGGUAUUUCAAUUGCUGAUUGGUGGUGCCCGAAACCAAGCAUUGAUGCGCUCAUUUGGCCAACUGGUUUGUACCAUGUCUGUACACAGUUACGUGAUCUAUCGAUCAAGAAUGAAGGUAACAAAAUAAGUUUCAAUUUUGACUUGCAAUUUUUCCACCAUCGUUUGUUGUUUGAGUGAGGAUGGCAUUGGUUGCUUACCACCAGUCAUUUGGGUUAUCAGUCUUGCACCCAUAACAUACUGAGAAAUACAUAUGCUUUGAUUGGCUAUGUGAAUUCCAGCUUAUAAUGUUCUUUUCUUGAUAUAUACAUCAGCAUUUUGUAAAGAUCAGAAGUUGCCUAUGUUUUCAAUGCAUACUACUAACCAGUCAAUUGUCGUGUCCUUCACGGAACAUACAGGGUCUUCUCAGUUAACAAUCACAGGGGUGUUUUCUAAUUCCAUCCUUAACUUGAAUGAAACCAGUAGGAAAGGAGAUCCAGAACAAAAAUGGGUCAUCUUUGUUUUUCGCUUAUGAUCGGUACUAAUUUGCUCUUUCUGUUAUUCACACUUUCCUUUGCAGUUGACAGCAUUAGUCCCUCCCAGUCUAUCCGUGAUGGAACGACCUUGGUUUCAAAAGGUGGAAGCUUUGAGCUUGGUUUCUUCAGUCCGGGUAGUUAUGAGAAUCGUUACUUGGGAAUUUGGUACAAGAACAUCCCAGUUAGAACUGUUGUGUGGGUUGCAAACAGAUGCAACCCCAUUAAUGAUUCUUCCGGCAUCUUGAUGAUAAACAGAACAGGACAUCUUGUGCUGUUAGGUCAGAAUAAGAGUGUUGUUUGGUGGAUAAGCUCAGCUAAACAUGCCCCAAGUGCAACAGUAGAGCUUUUAGAUUCUGGGAAUUUAGUACUAAGAGAUGCAGGAACCUAUUUGUGGCAAAGCUUUGACUAUCCUUCUGAUACGUUCUUACCAGGAAUGAAGAUUGGAUGGGACUUGAGGACAGGUAUAAAACGGAGUUUAUCAGCUUGGAAAAAUUCAGAAGACCCGUGUCCAGGAGAUUUCACUUAUGGGAUUGAAAUGGAACGUGAUACUUAUCCUGAGUCAUAUGUUCGGAAAGGCACUGCAAAAUACUAUCGUAGUGGCCCAUGGAAUGGCCUGAGAUUCAGUGGUUCACCAGAAUUAAGGCCUAAUCCACUUUAUAGUUUCAACUUUGUCAAUAAUGAUGAUGAAGUGUACUACACGUACAACCUUCAAAAUAAGUCUGUAAUCUCAAGAAUAGUUUUGAACCAAACCACCAGUACUCGCGAUCGCCUUACAUGGAUUGAAGCAGAUCAAAGUUGGAAGGCCUAUUCAUCAGUACCAAGAGACUUGUGUGAUAAUUAUGGCCUCUGUGGAGCCAAUGGAAAGUGUAUCAUUGAUGAGAAUCCAGUCUGCCAAUGUCUAAAAGGAUUCAAGCCUGUGUCUCAAGAAAAAUGGAAUUUGAUGGACUGGUCUCUAGGAUGUGUGCGCAAUAAACCAUUAAGCUGCCAGGAAAGAUAUAAAGAUGGCUUUGUCAAAUUUGUUGGCUUGAAACUGCCAGAUACUACACAUUCUUGGGUGAACAAAAGUAUGAAUCUCAAGGAAUGCAGAACCAAAUGCUUGAACAACUGUUCCUGUAUGGCUUAUACAAGCUCGGAUAUCAGAGGAGGAGGUACUGGCUGCGCCAUCUGGUUUGAUGAUCUAAUAGAUAUAAGGCAGUUUUCAGAUGCUGGGCAGGAUCUGUAUAUUCGAAUGUCGGCUUCAGAAUUCAGUAUGGAACUUUGUAACAUUGGCUGCUUGUUAAAUACUUUUUAUGUGACAUGUAGCUUGAUUGUUGAUUCCAUGUUGUUUUGAUAAGAAAUCUAUUUUUCUUCUAAGUUAAAUCAUUGACCUGAUUUUUCCUUUAUUGUUUGCUGCAUUUUUUACUCUUCUGUACUGCAUCAUACAAACAUGAUGAAGAAAGUGGUGGUAAAGUGAAGACAGCAAUGAUAAUUGCAGUUUCCUUAGCAGUAGUGUUUUCUGUAGUGCUUUUAGUUGGAUAUUACCUUCGCCACAACAGGAGAAAAUUAAAAGGUACAUUAACUACCUUGGCCAUCUUUGCAAAAAAUUUGUGGGUGUUGUUUGAUUGUAUUUUGAUGAAUAUUUGACAGAAAGGGAUUUAAAGUUGUAUGGAGUUUAAUUUCGCGAAAAGAGAUGGUUAAAUUAGUACAUAGUCUGUUUGCAUAUAUAAGUUUUUGUUUCCUUUACUCUUACUCAUAAGCUAUCACUGACAUCAAACCCAUUUCUACUACAUGUGGGAAAACAGAGAUAGGUGAAACAAAUAUGAACAAUGAAGGGGAACCAGAGGAGGAUCUGGAGCUCCCGCUCUUUGACCUGCCCACAGUGGCUAGUGCCACAGAGAACUUUUCAAGCGAUAACAAGCUCGGAGAAGGUGGAUUUGGACCCGUUUACAGGGUAAAUUUAUAACUUGUAUUUUAAGGGCCAGACUAGGAAAAAAUAACUACAUCCAGAGUUUCACAAUAUUUUGAAAUACUGUAAAUUUCCAGGGGACACUACCAGAUGGACAAAAAAUUGCUGUGAAGAGGCUUUCAAGAAGUUCUGGCCAAGGAUUGAAUGAGUUCAAGAAUGAAAUUAUACUGUUUGCCAAGCUCCAGCAUCGAAAUCUUGUAAAGCUUCUUGGAUGCUGCAUUAAAGGAGAGGAGAAAAUGCUGAUUUAUGAAUACAUGCCCAACAGAAGCCUGGACUCCUUUAUUUUUGGUUUGGACCUUUGGUGGCUUAUAAAUUUAGGCAGAAUCAAUUGCUUUAAAAUAAUUCAUAUGUAGGUUUUUAAACAGUUCUGAACUGAAGUUGGAUUUGGAUUAAACUUGCCAGAUAGUGUGAGAGGAGAACUACUGUUAGAUUGGCCUAAACGUUUCCACAUUAUUUGCGGAGUUGCUCGGGGUCUCCUCUAUCUCCAUCAGGAUUCCAGGCUAAGGAUUAUUCAUCGAGAUCUCAAAGCAAGUAAUGUUUUACUUGAUAAUGAAAUGAAUCCAAAAAUUUCAGACUUUGGCUUGGCUAGAACAUUAAUUGGAGGAGAUCAGUCUGGUGGAAAUACAAACAGAGUGGUUGGAACAUAGUAAGUUUUUCUUAUAAUAUUUUGCAUGAUCUAGUUUUCAUCCUCAUCAAUGGUUUAUUUGUUCUCACUUGCAUAUGAUGUUUCUACUUUCAACAGCGGUUAUAUGGCACCUGAAUAUGCUAUUGAUGGGCUGUUUUCUGUCAAAUCGGAUGUAUUUAGCUUUGGUAUUUUGGUGCUGGAGGUCAUAAGUGGAAUGAAAAAUAAGGGAUUCUACCAUCCAAACCACAGUCAUAACCUUAUUGGACAUGUAAGAAUCAGCAGUAUAAUUUCUUCUUUAUGCAUAUUAGGCCUGUGAAUGGCAAUUGACUACAGAGGAGUUUUGACAUGUUUCAGGCAUGGAGAUUGUGGAUUCAAGGAAGGCCUUUAGAACUGAUUGAUACGUGUUUAGAAAGCUCAUGUACUCUAUCGGAAGUGUUACGUUGCGUCCAUAUUAGUCUCUUAUGCGUGCAACAUCAUCCCGAGGAUAGACCAAGCAUGGCAUCUGUGGUUAUCAUGCUGGGAAGUGAGAUUGCAUUGGCUCAGCCCAAACAACCUGGUUUCUUUAUAGAAAAGGAAUCACAUGAAGUAGGCUCUUCUUUAGGUAAUCAAACAUCUUCAACAAACGAAAUAUCGAUUACACUUUUGGAGGGCCGUUAAAGAAUCGAUUAAUUCAUGGUAUAUAGGUUCAUGCUGCUUUGUUUACUUGUUGUGCCUACUUUCAAAACAAGCAACUUAGGAAAAGUUUGAUAACCAUUUCAAUUUUAAUUUUUAGUUUUCAUUUUUUGUGCUAGAGUAUAGAGGAAAAAGAGGGAGAAUGAAAGUGAGAAUGAGAGUGAAGAUGGGAUUGACAGGGCCCUUAGUUUAUAGAUCGAAGUGAUUUGAGGUAUUGAACAAUAGAUAGGUUGGGUGAUAAAGACCAUUUAGCUAUUCAUGUCAUACUACAUGUAUAUGCUACCAACUAAUUUCUCAACGGACACUUUUGAACAAAGCAGCAAGGUUAUCUUGAAGCAUGAAUAUGUGAAUUCUUUGUUUUAUGAAAUUUUCUUAAUAUCCCAAGUUCCAUAGAUCUCAUAAACAUUCCGCAUCACCCAAAAAAAAAAAGCUUGUUGGCUUGUAACGACUGGCGAAGAAACACCCAUUGCAAUCCACAAAUUAUCAAAAUCCAUUGUUUAUUUGAUUUGGACAAAUUUUUGUAAUUCAUAGUUUUAAAAUCCUUUUGUAAAAUAUAUCUAGAAAGGACAAAGUAUAAAACUUGGGAGUUAAAAAUAUUUGUCAUGUAGUAAAAAUAAAAGAAAAUAACAUCACUAUAAUUACCAUACGCGGGGGGCACUUGGUGAGAUAAUAGAAACUAUUAUCUUUUGAAAAUAUUUGUCACCACCUUUGACCUUGGUGCACUUGGUGAGAGCCAAUGACAUUAUAUAGGGCUGGCACGGUUUGGUUCAGGUUGAUUUUAAGCUUAAAUUGGAAAUCAAAUUAGGGUCUAUAGUUUGAAGAAUUUAGGAACCGGACCAAUAGGUAAUGAAAACGAGCAAACCGUUUAAUUAGCCACUCUAAUUUAGGCAACGUGUGAACAGUUUUGGGCCGACUUUACUUUUGGCCCAAAUUUCAAUAUGCAUUUUCAUAUUGCAAGUCCUAAUUUUAAAAUUGAUGAAACAAACAUGCAUUUUCCAAAAAUUUCAGACUUUGGCUUGGCUAGAACAUUAGUUGGAGGAGAUCAGACUGGUGGAACUACAAACAGAGUGGUUGGAACAUAGUAAGUUCUCCUUUGAAUAUUUUUCCACGAUCUACUAUUCAUCCCCGUCAAUGGUUUAUUAUGUUCUCACUUGCAUAUGAUGUUUUUACUUUCUACAGCGGUUACAUGGCACCUAAAUAUGCUAUCUAUGGGCUGUUUUCUGUCAAAUCUGAUGUCUUUAGCUUUGGUAUUUUGGUGUUGGAGGUCAUAAGUGGAAGGAAAAAUAAGGGAUUCUACCAUCCAAACCACAGUCAUAACCUUAUUGGACAUGUAAGUAUCGAUAGUAAAAUUUCUUCUUGAUACAUAUUCGACCUAUGAAUGGCAAUUAACCACAAAGGAGUUUUGACAUGUUUCAGGCAUGGACAUUAUGGAAUCAAGGGAGGCCUUUAGAGCUGAUUGAUAUGCGUUUAGGAAGCUCAUAUACUCUAUCAGAAGUGUUACGUUGCAUCCAUGUUAGUCUUUUAUGCGUGCAACAUCAUCCUGAGGAUAGACCAACCAUGGCAUCUGUGCUUAUAAUGUUGGGAAGUGAGAUUCCCUUGGCUCAGCCCAAGCAACCUGGUUUCUUUAUAGAAACGGAAUCACUUGAAGCAGGCGUUUCUCCAGGUAAUCAAUCGUCAACAAAC